CCAGGGAAUUUAAUGCCCAAAAAACCUCAACGUCUUCUAUCCCUUCUUUUGGUGACCCAGCAUUUCCACCUCCACUUCAAGACCCUGCUGUCCCUGAUCUCCCUCCACUUCCUUUACUUCCAAAGCUGCCACCAUUACCAGAACUCCCUCCUCUCCCACCUCUUCCAGGACUACCGAACAUUCCAUUUCCGCCAGUGCCAUCUCCGCCGGUGCCUGGAAAGACCACCACAAACCCAAAAGCUUAUACCGAGUCUUUGAAGAGUGCACAAGCGUUAGAUCAGAAAGAAGUAAACCCUGACUUUUUCUUCCCCACACCGCCCCUUUUUCCUCCAAACCCUUUUCAGCCACCUCCAGUACUUCCUCCAAACCCACUUCAACCACCUCCAUUAUUCCCUCCAUUGCUUCCCCCUAACCCAUUCCAGCCUCCUCCAGCUCCAUUGAUUCCUUUAC
rnacentral:lncRNA from 1 species